UACGAAGGGGGGCUAGCGUUGCUCGGAAUGACUGGGCGUAAAGGGCGCGUAGGCGGCGCAGUUAGUCAGGCGUGAAAUUCCUGGGCUCAACCUGGGGACUGCGCUUGAUACGGCUGUGCUUGAGGAUGGAAGAGGCUCGCGGAAUUCCCCAGUGUAGAGGUGAAAAUUCGUAGAUAUUGGGAAGAACACCGGUGGCGAAGGCGGCGAGCUGGUCCAUUACUGACGCUGAGGCGCGACAGCGUGGGGGAGCAAACAGG
rnacentral:rRNA from 1 species